rnacentral:rRNA from 1 species
AUUGAACGCUGGCGGCAGGCCUAACACAUGCAAGUCGAGCGAGAAAGCUCCUUCGGGAGUGAGUAGAGCGGCGGACGGGUGAGUAACGCGUAGGAAUCUACCUGGUAGUGGGGGACAACAGUUGGAAACAGCUGCUAAUACCGCAUACGCCCUACGGGGGAAAGCGGGGGACCGUUCGGGCCGUCGCGCUAUCAGAUGAGCCUGCGUUGGAUUAGCUUGUUGGUUGAGGUAAAGGACUCACCAAGGCGACGAUCCAUAGCUGGUCUGAGAGGAUGAUCAG